AUGGUAAAAUUUUCUAACAUUAAGUCUUUUACAUCUUUUACAGCAGGGACAAGCAAAAUGAUUCAGAGCUUUCUUUCUGCAUCUGGACAAAACUACAGGGUGCUGCCUUCUGCUUCUCCCCAUGAGGGGGCUCCUUUUCAGGUCGCACCGUUAAAGCUGGAGGAACUUGGCAGCCCUCGUCCUGUCGGAAUUCCCCCUGCUCCGCAUUGUAGCACUGCAGUGAUUUGUAGACAUCGGUACCUAAUGAAGCUCACAGCUGUGCAAGAGAAGGAUGCAGGGUCUGGCAGCACAGGACAAGAGUGCGCCUGGCAGGCGAUGUCAUCUGGAAUUCCCCGACUUGUGGAGCUCUCUUGUCCCCCGUGCCUGGAGCAGCCACCCUCAGCCAGCAGAGAACACCCUGGAAGCACCCCUUGUAGGCCUUUUCCGAAGGUUAUAGACCUUUGGAAAUCCAACAGCUUUCUUGCUACCCCCUAAGCAGAAGGCAAAAUGAAAGCCAAAUAGGAGAGAGGCUCUCUACCCCCUCAAGAAGAUUGCAGUUGAAUUUCACCAAUCUCUAUUGCACCUCUUUCUGUGUCUACUUCAUCAACAAGCAGCCUCUCUUCCCAGCAUGAAUUGCACUGCAGAAUGCAUUUUUCCUGCUUCUUUCUUUGCCUGAUGCCAUGUUCCAUGGUCUUAGCUCACACGAGCCCAAAAGAGACUGACUCGUGGCAGAGGCAGGCUGUGCUGAACUGAGCUCACAAGUGUUUAUCCUCCUUUCGAUUUUUAAGCUGGGUUUUCAGGUUUAGCAUUUUAAAAUUUAGACUUCCAGCAAGUUCUUGAAACCCUUCAGAUUGCUUUUGCACAUAAUGCUGCUCCUAUGUGCCAGUCCUAGAAAAUAACUCUGAAAGAAUACUGACAGAUGCAUGGGAUAGGAAGGACAAAUGUAAGGAAUAACAAACACCAACACAGGAUUCUUUUGAGACAGAAUAUAACUUCCACAUACGGUUCAGGUUUUUUUCCCAGUUCCUACAUUUGCCAGAUAUUUCACAGAUCUGGUCUCUCACAAAAAACAUGGAAAGCAACACAGGUUACAGGGAGGGGCAGCAGUGAGAGAAGUGGUUGAGUGGCACAGGGAUAUGCAUUAGAAAAUGAAAGAUGACUGCCAGAAGGGUGAACCCUGAUCUCAGAAGUAGCCAACAGCCAAGGAGGUGUGGGGAACACAUGAAGGAACAGGGAGUGGCAGCAGCAAAGGGCUCUGUGGCACUGCUGGUGUCCUAUAGCAUCUGUCAAGGACAGACCAGGGAGGACUGUUAGCUUCUCCUGUUCUCUAUGCAGAGGAUGCUUGUCCUGCACACACUGUUUCAACUGUGAGCUGUAUGGUAUUUAGAGGAAAUCAGUUCUGUCUCACAGGAAUAUGCUGAGUGUUCUGCUAGGAUCUACUCUAACAGUGCAUCCUGAUCUCCCUUUGACUUAGAUUUGUCUUUUGGAAGCAUAU
rnacentral:lncRNA from 1 species